UGCUAGAAAGGAAAGGAAUAAGGAGGAGACAAAACGCCGCCGAGGCCCUGAACUGUUCAUGGCAUCCGCGGCUCAGCCAAGCUGUUGUUUUAAAAGAGCAAUAAAAAUGAAUUAUGACUAAACGCCUUCUAACUUAAUGCUUUCGGACGGGGAUCCCCGGCAAAUAACGUAAGAGGAUUUUUAUUUGUGCAUGUGUUCCUGCAAUUGAUCUCUUUGAUGACAUUCUCAUUCAUAGAAAGCGUUUGAUUUAUGAGCGUAGGACGAAUCGCAUCCAGGAGCUGCGCAGCCCUGGCCGCGGCUGGGACGCCCUGCUCCGCGCUGAGCUUAGGGCCGGAAACCAGCCAUAGUCCCCACACUCCGCCGCCGCAGCUGGGAUUUAGCGGAGGAAGGGGCGAGGGAAGGUAGGGAGCAAACCUAUGAAGAAACAUCGCGUUGUCAUUGGAACUUUCAAGCCUUUGCUGUUAAGAGCCAGGUUCUUAAAUCAACCCGCCCCACACACAUGUUGCUUACAUGCUGCGUUUUCUCACGGUCUGUUUUGCCUGAACCCAUCAACAGCUGGGAGAUUAAUCAACCACACUGAAAAUGUGGAGGGCUUUAUGGGGGAGGGAGUUGAAAUGUGGAUGUUUGAAACAAAAGUGUGUAAAUAAAUGAAUUGUUGAUAACUUAGUUAUUGACCUGGAGACUGGUAGCUUAUUAAAGAAACUCCAUGUUACUCAUUCCUGGAGUUGGAGGUUUCUGUAGGCACUUUAUUUCUCCACUUUCAAGAGCUUGGGCUUGGCCCAAAUCUUAGACUGUCCAAUUCUGUCUCUGUUACCAAUUUAAAUCUAUGGCUUGAACCUGUGCACUGAAAAUCAGAUCCUUUAAAAAGAAGGAGGAGAAGAAGAAGCAA
rnacentral:antisense_RNA from 1 species